GGGCGCGUAGUUCAGUGGCUAGAACGCUAUCCUGAUAAGAUAGAGGCCGAUGGUUCGAUUCCAUCCGCGCCCA
rnacentral:tRNA from 1 species